rnacentral:lncRNA from 1 species
UGAAAGGAGUUGCUCUUGGCCUAAAAGCCUUGCUUGAAUAGGAAGAGCCGCAGAUGAAGAAGGGUUGUUCGAUUGGGGCUUAGGAAACAGAUCUGAAAGACUCACUCCCCAGAAUGGCCGGGACCCGGUAGCCCCUUGGCAGCUGAGAGAGCUUAAAUCCAAGACUCAAGGCUCUGCUGCCAGCUACAUUGGGCAGAUUCCCCACACGUGCUACCUUUCAUUAAUUAAUUAAUUCACUAUUUUUGGACCUUCCCUGAAUUUGGAAGGAACCGAAGCUAUGGCACUAGAAGCAAUAUCCAGAUAUGCUAGGGUCUAGGGACACCAGAUUUCCAGCCUUCUUCAUCACUUGGACAGGAGUUAUCCAAGGGGAACCCGGCAAAACCAGACUCUACAUCUGAAUUGCAUUCAAAACUCGAGGAAAGAGGCUAAAGGAAGGUUCCCCCACUCACCCCCAACCUCGGAUAUUUUCUCUCCUCUGCGGGAGCAGCCCCCAGGAGAGAGGCCCCAGCCCUUUUUAUAGGUGACGUAGGGCGCUACGUGGCCAACUCGGGCCCCAGCCCUAUGUUCAUAGGCUUCUACCCCUGAAGUGACUCUUCGGCGCCUGCUCCCCCUUCCCCCGCCCCUGCCCUCGGGGGGACGCCGCCUUUUUCUAAUCGGGACUCAGCCCUUUCUCGCCACAAACUCCCGUGCCCACCGAAGAGAGAGUGCUCUGGAGAGCCAGAGACAGAACACUUCCAAUCCCACCCUGAGAUUGGCCAAGAAAAAGGAGCAGUCCUGCGUGGCUCUUCUCAGGUCAGCUUUCAGAGAGACUGGAAAACAUUCCUGAAUGGCACGAUUUGGGAGGAGAAUGGAGGGAAUCCUGUGCAAAUGAGAAAAUGGCUCAGCAGCUUUCAACCAAAAAUCUGUUGGAACCAAGAUGUACUUGAGAAAUGA